AUUGAACGCUGGCGGCAUGCUUUACACAUGCAAGUCGAACGGUAACAGGCCGCAAGGUGUUGUCGAGUGGCGAACGGGUGAGUAAUGCAUCGGAACGUGCCCAGUCGUGGGGGAUAACUACUCGAAAGAGUAGCUAAUACCGCAUACGAUCUAUGGAUGAAAGCGGGAGACCGAAAGGCCUCGCGCGAUUGGAGCGGCAGAUGUCAGAUUAGGUAGUUGGUGGGGUAAAGGCUCACCAAGCCAACGAUCUGUAGCUGGUCUGAGAGGACGACCAGCCACACUGGGACUGAGACACGGCCGAGACUCCGACGGGAGGCAGCAGUGGGGAAUUUUGGACAAUGGGCGCAAGCCUGAUCCAGCAAUGCCGCGUGCAGGAAGAAGGCCUUCGGGUUGUAAACUGCUGUUGUACGGAACGAAACGACUCUGGUUAAUACCCGGAGCUAAUGACGGUACCGUAAGAAUAAGCACCGGCUAACUACGUG
rnacentral:rRNA from 1 species